rnacentral:rRNA from 1 species
CGUAGGUGGCGAGCGUUGUCCGGAAUUACUGGGUGUAAAGGGCGUGUAGGCGGGACUGUAAGUCAGAUGUGAAAUUCCAAGGCUUAACCUUGGCGCUGCAUCCGAAACUAUAGUUCUUGAGUGCUGGAGAGGAAAGCGGAAUUCCUAGUGUAGCGGUGAAAUGCGUAGAUAUUAGGAGGAACACCAGUGGCGAAGGCGGCUUUCUGGACAGUAACUGACGCUGAGGCGCGAAAGCGUGGGGAGCAAACAGGAUUAGAUACCCUGGUAGUCCACGCUGUAAACGAUGGAUACUAGGUGUAGGAGGUAUCGACCCCUUCUGUGCCGCAGUUAACACAAUAAGUAUCCCACCUGGGGAGUACGGCCGCAAGGUUG